rnacentral:rRNA from 1 species
UACAGAGGUCCCAAGCGUUAUUCGGAUUCAUUGGGCGUAAAGGGUGCGUAGGUGGCGCCGUAAGUGGGGUGUGAAAUUUCGGAGCUUAACUCCGAAACUGCAUUCCAUACUGCGGUGCUUGAGGACUGGAGAGGAGACUGGAAUUCAUGGUGUAGCAGUGAAAUGCGUAGAGAUCAUGAGGAAGACCAGUGGCGAAGGCGGGUCUCUGGACAGUUCCUGACACUGAGGCACGAAGGCUAGGGGAGCGAACGGG